AGUAUUUGAUAACAAAAAUAAAGCAGUAUACAUGUUCUGGUUCGAGUCAUCUCUGGUUUGAGUAUUUGAUCUCAAAAAUGGUUUGUGUUAUUACUAUAACCAACUCAUUGGAUCAUAGGAUUUAAUGCAUUUCACAUGCAAUUCUGCAACUGCUCUCUGUAUAUAGGAUCUGAAGGCAGCGAGAAUUAAUGAAAAGAAAACUACUGUUCCAGCUCAUUAGCUCUACAACUACUGAUUAAGCAUCUCCAGAUUCAAGAGGAUAGAAGAUUUAGCUGAUCUGGUUAUGUACAUUUCGAACAAGGAUUUGAAGAGGUUGCACAUGUUCUGUUUCAGGAAUCAAUCAAAAUAUUUUGUAGAGCACUUGUUAUGUCUUGACAAAAAGAACAUUCGCAUUUCAGUUUGGUUGACUAGCUUCUUUAGGAGGCUCUGAAGGGAAGGCAAUAGACCUUGAUGAUACUAAAUUUCAUCAUUACGCCAUCAAGUAUGUUACAACAGAACUUGAGCAUAUCCAUUGUCCACUCUGCUAUAAGUUGUGUGCUAGGCUAGAUCGUAUAUUUUUUGGGUGGUGUUCUGAACUUCUGUUGGAU